rfam:Capsicum annuum cultivar Zunla-1 chromosome 2, whole genome shotgun sequence
AUCCUCACAAUGAGAACAUGGCAAACUAUUCUUUUGCCUUUUACUACUAAAUACCGUGUGCGUGUUACAAAUAGUGGCAUACGCCAACUUUUGGAUGGUUUCUCUUCACUAAGAUCC